ACGCUGGCGGCAGGCCUAACACAUGCAAGUCGAGCGGUAGAGAGAAGCUUGCUUCUCUUGAGAGCGGCGGACGGGUGAGUAAUGCCUAGGAAUCUGCCUGGUAGUGGGGGAUAACGCUCGGAAACGGACGCUAAUACCGCAUACGUCCUACGGGAGAAAGCAGGGGACCUUCGGGCCUUGCGCUAUCAGAUGAGCCUAGGUCGGAUUAGCUAGUUGGUGAGGUAAUGGCUCACCAAGGCGACGAUCCGUAACUGGUCUGAGAGGAUGAUCAGUCACACUGGAACUGAGACACGGUCCAGACUCCUACGGGAGGCAGCAGUGGGGAAUAUUGGACAAUGGGCGAAAGCCUGAUCCAGCCAUGCCGCGUGUGUGAAGAAGGUCUUCGGAUUGUAAAGCACUUUAAGUUGGGAGGAAGGGCAGUAAAUUAAUACUUUGCUGUUUUGACGUUACCGACAGAAUAAGCACCGGCUAACUCUGUGCCAGCAGCCGCGGUAAUACAGAGGGUGCAAGCGUUAAUCGGAAUUACUGGGCGUAAAGCGCGCGUAGGUGGUUCGUUAAGUUGGAUGUGAAAUCCCCGGGCUCAACCUGGGAACUGCAUUCAAAACUGUCGAGCUAGAGUAUGGUAGAGGGUGGUGGAAUUUCCUGUGUAGCGGUGAAAUGCGUAGAUAUAGGAAGGAACACCAGUGGCGAAGGCGACCACCUGGACUGAUACUGACACUGAGGUGCGAGAGCGUGGGGAGCAAAC
rnacentral:rRNA from 1 species